ACGAUAAGGUCAGCUAAUUAAGCUUCCGGGCCCAUACCCCGGACAUGACGGUUAAAGCCCCUCCCUUGUCA
rnacentral:tRNA from 1 species